rnacentral:rRNA from 1 species
CAGUAGCCGCGGUAAUACGUAGGGUGCGAGCGUUAAUCGGAAUUACUGGGCGUAAAGCGUGCGCAGGCGGUUCGUUAAGACAGAUGUGAAAUCCCCGGGCUUAACCUGGGAACUGCAUUUGUGACUGACGGGCUAGAGUAUGGCAGAGGGGGGUAGAAUUCCACGUGUAGCAGUGAAAUGCGUAGAGAUGUGGAGGAAUACCGAUGGCGAAGGCAGCCCCCUGGGCCAAUACUGACGCUCAUGCACGAAAGCGUGGGGAGCAAACAGGAUUAGAUACCCCAGUAGUCCCUGUCUCUUAUAC